CAAAACCGAAUAAAAAUUCAAACAUCUAAUUUACCUAACAAAAUAACAUAACAGGUAGAAUAAUAUGUUACCGACUUCGUGAAUUUGUACCGAAUGAGUGUCAAAAAACAAGUAGAAUUGGAGAUUGAUCACAACCCAAACUUAUCUCAUUGCUUAUCCUCAAGUGAUGCUCGGAACAUCAGGACUGUCACCCCCAAAUUCGCUUCCACAAUACUAUUGUGAUCUUUCGAGACUCCCUUUUC
rnacentral:lncRNA from 1 species